GAAUCAGCUGAUCUAACUCUAGUGCUUUGUAUAUAAAAUCUAUUUUUAUCACUGCCCAUAAUUAAAAGUUAUUUGGUACAGACAAUGUCUGAUUUUGUCUCUCUCCUCGUGUAAACACUCAUAAUAUUCAUUUACUAAACAUGUAAUAGAACUAACAAUUUGGUUUCAGGAAAUGUUACAUACAUUUUAUUCCUUCAGGCUUCUCACACUUCCUUUCUACCUUAUUACAAACGUUCUAUCAGUAGAGACAAAGUUAAACCCUAUCAUGUUGGGAUUGAAAUAACUAGCAAUAGUACAAACUCAAAUGUCAAUAAAUAUUAGCAGGUACGUAAGACAAUUAGCUAUAAUUUUAUGGUAGUUUCACACCUAAAAUAUGUUUAACUACAGGUCUCAACAUCAACUUUUGGAGGCACCAGCUAAUGGCUGUUAGUUAUUUUAUUUCCAGUAACAAAUUCAGAACUGCUACUAGUAACAUGAUUAUUCUUUUCUAAAGUUAACUGUGUUAUAAUUAUUUCAUGUAUUAAAUGUAAUAAUUAUGUAUACAUCUUCUAUGUCAAUUUUUUUCACAAUCAAAACUAAUUUUAAUUUGUUACAGUGUUUAUAUUUUAACUAUUUCACAAAAGUUAAAAGAUGUUGGAUUUGGUAAAUUUAGACCAUGAAUGCCUGGAUUAACAAACUCAACACUGACAGCCACCCUAUAUUACAGAACGUAUUUUAUUAUUAAAAGUUAAUGUUCAAACGCUGAAAGCUUGCAAACUAUUCAAAUCCGAUACAUCUCACGUAUAUGUCAAUUGUGGACAAAUUUAGAGGAAUUUAUAAAAAAAACACAUGUGAUUUACAUGAUUUCUAAUUUAUUAUUAUCUCCAAUGAACAACCAUUUUAGCAAAAUAUUUCUAACCACACUGCCAGUAAAACUGGAUGUUGCGAGUCUAGACGGCUUGUAAAUGUGCUGAUUGCCUUCACAAUCAAUCAAAUGAAUUAAUGCUGCAGUCUUUCAUCAUUCCCUAACACUUAACCUCGGUAUGUCAUGUAUUUUUUUAGGUCUACAGGAUUAAUUUUUUAUCCUGCAUUUAACAUAAUUGUUAGGUCUACAAAAUUAAUGUUUUUCUACUGCAUUUAACGUAUUUGUUAGGUCUACAAAAUUAAUGUUUUUAUCCUGUAUUAACGUAUUUGUUAGGUCUACAGGAUUAAUGUUUUUCUACUGCAUUUAACGUAUUUGUUAGGUCUACAAAAUUAAUGUUUUUAUCCUGUAUUUAAUGUAUUUGUUAGGUUUACAGGAUUAAUGUUUUUAUCCUGUAUUUAACGUAUUUGUUAGGUCUACAGGAUUAAUGUUUUUAUCCUGUAUUUAACGUAUUUGUUAGGUCUACAGAAUUAAUGUUUUUAUACUGCAUUUAACGUAUUUUUUAGGUCUACAGGAUUAAUAUUUUUAUCCUGUAUUUAAUGUAUUUGUUAGGUCUACAGGAUUUUUAUCCUGCAUUUAACGUAUUUGUUAGGUCUACAGGAUUAAUGUUUUUAUCCUGUAUUUAACGUAUUUAUUAGGUCUACAGGAUUAAUGUUUUUUAUCCAGUAUUUAAUGUAUUUGUUAGGUCUAGAGAAUUAUUGUUUUUAUACUGCAUUUAACGUAUUUGUUAGGUCUACAGGAUUAAUGUUUUUAUCCUGUAUUUAACGUAUUUGUUAGGUCUACAGGAUUAAUGUUUUUAUCCUGUAUUUAAUGUAUUUGUUAGGUCUACAGGAUUAAUACUUUUUAUAUCACUAAAUCAAGCUAUAUACAAGUGUCACGUUCAUAUUAACUUUGGGAUGCUGUGGGACAAGCCAAGCUGAUCAGUUUGAUACUGAGAAUAGUUUUCCGAACAGAGAAGAACAAAACAGAUCUGAAAUGCUGUUUUUACAAACUUCUAAU
rnacentral:lncRNA from 1 species